CACACACACACACACACACACACACACACACACACACACACACACACACACACACACACGCCCUCUCUCUCUCUCGCUCUCUGCCACUCCGUCUCUCACUCUCUCUCUCUCUCCCUCUCCUCUCUGCUGCUAUUCUGGGAAGUGGCGUUUGGAAUAACCCCCGUGUGCGAACGAGUGUGUGUGUGUGCGUGUGUGUGUGUCUCCUGAUUUCACCCUCUCACACGCACACAUAGCCUACACACUCAUCACAACACAGUCAGACGCACACAUUGACUGGCUGUCUGACUGCAGUAUAGGCUAGAGGAGCUCCGGCAGCAGAAACCCGGUCGGAAAGGAUUCCGAUUCCAUUUUUACGCGCAACUUUUUUCCCCCUUCCGUCGGCGACGUUUUCCACCGCUUCCCCUCUUCGACUCGUGUGGAUUUCUAACAACUGUUCUCCCGGCUUGGUUUCUACUAACGGACAACCAGCGAAGGUGUCAAGCCCGCCCGGAAUCGGAUCUCCUGUCACCGGGGGUUGCUUGUUGUCAUUAUCGCGCGGAGACGCGCAGCUGGAGCGCAGACGGAAGCGGCUGUGACCAGUUUGUGGACUGGACCGGAGGACAGCUACAUCAGGAUGGCCACGCGAGGAAUCUUUCUGAAACCGAACUGAGCACGUACAGACAAACAGGUCUUUUGGUGAGAAAACUGGAAGACUUUUGAAGCUAAAGAAAGGAUCUACAAGCACUUUUCCUUACAGAAAAGUUAGUAUUUACCCUUUGAUAAUACUCAAUAUGUUGUUUACCUUGAUUUACUGUUAACUUAAAAUGCAUCUUCUUUUUGUGUCCUCUCCAGAUCACUCAAGGAUUCUUCUGUCGUUAGAUGUAAACUGGACAGAAAACAACGCAUAGCAACAUUAGUGUUUACACAAUGGCAAAAGGAGAGAAACAUUUCUGAUGUUAUCCACUAAAGCUCCCCUUUUAUUUCCACUUCCUGAUUCCUGUUUCCAGCCUGGCUUUACAAUCAGUCUAUUUCAGCAAUGGACGGGUACUUCCUGUUUCUGUGAACUUGUUGGCAGCCCUCAAAGGUUCAGCUAUCAUGCCUGGUAGUUGUGGGACCUUGUAACCCUCCAGAACCCACCCUCCCAACUCCCCCACCACCCCCUCUCUCCUCCCUCUUCUAAACC
rnacentral:lncRNA from 1 species